GCAGAGGGCUGUCAACAAGCUUCAAUUGUGCACAGAGGAAAACAGCAAGGACUAAACUGAGAGGGUUCAGAAGAGUAUGGUCUCACAUUAGAUGAAGGCAGAAUCAUGCAAUGGUUUGUCUCUACCUCAUGCAGGCUUCACACUUUUCCUGGGGCCUCUGGGCUCCUGUCCAGGCCAAGAUACUUCACAAUUGACUUUGAUUUUCUGAGGACAGGGAAGGUACAGAUGCUGUCAGCAGGGAGCGAAGUAAGAACAUAUCAGGCAGAAGAAUCUGAAUCUGGAAAAGCUGUAUGCAGAUGGUAAAUACAACAGACUUCAAAACCAGCACAGACAGCGCAUCCAUCACUGGGAUGAAAAAAGAGAACCGAUGGGACAAUUAAUCUGUGAUUUGUAUCCAAUAAAAAUAUAGGUAAUAACAAGAUAAAAAAUUAUUGAAAGCAUAAAGCAGACAAACUGAAUCCAAACAAACCUUAAGAAGAAGAUACUCAGAUGUUUAAAAUUGCACCUUUGUCUAAAAGUUACAGUGCUGACCACUGCAUAAUGGAAUGUGCACAUUAAGCUUGUUUUCCAAGGAUUUUUGUUUUAAAUCCAAUUCCACAGACUUCAUUAUCAAUACUGUCUAUUUGGAGCUGAUUGAAAAAAUUCUGCGUGAUUUCUUGCCGGAUACAAAUCAUAUGCCUUGAAUAAGGAUUAGCUGGAUAACUCACAAGUCCCCUAGGGAAAAUAUGUUGUACAGACUGCUCCUCCUAAGUGGGGAUUAAUAUCAAAUCCCACAGGAAGUCAUGCACUGCAGUGUUUGUUUUCAUUUCAUUUUAUAUUUACUGGCAGUUUAUACUGUUCUUUCAGCUUGUGUUUAACAGACAUUGCAGCAUGACAGAUUUUUCAGCACAUGUAACAUCAUGUCUCACAUUUUGGCCAUCUGAUAAUAUUUACUAGGUAUAAUUGUUGUCCAGUGGGUCUUACAAAAUUGGAGAUGGCAUGAACUCAAAUUUACCACAUGGAAUCUGUUCCUUUGUAGAAAUUUUAUGCUUAAAACAUUUCCAAACUUAAUACGGUAUUGACGUGGCAACUGCUGCCACUGCUCACCAUUAAUCUCAGUGGUGAUGUUCUCACCCUCAAGCAGCCUUCGCUCAUUUUCUACUCUUGUUAAACCUGGAUAUUUUCCCCUGUAUCUGUACAUUCCCUAUUACUUUAGCUUACAGCUUAGUUUAUGUCAUUUCUUGCCAGCUCCGAUUACUCUUUCUGUACCUUUCCCCACAUUUUCAGAACUUGGUUCUUCUUCCCUGUCCCAUCACCAGCCUGCCCUUUGAGAUCAGAAAACAACUUCUCAUUGAUAUAACCGUGGAAAGGAAAGAAUGUCAUACAAAACAGUGUUCAAUACCUCCCAACACUGAUACUACAAAAUUGUUUCCUUUUUCAUAGCAUUCAAACUAGAGGAAUUGUUUGAGCUAUCUAAUCCAGUAUUCUGCCAUCAGCUAAUUUUAGAUACUUUUGUCGUUGGCUUAUGCCAAACAAACAAAUCCAAUGGCAGGCAAUUUCUACUAAGAGUUUCCUCCGAACUCUUCCUUCAAAACCUGACUGGGUGUGAUCUGCAGCACCAUGAUUGAACUUCAGUCAGCCCUGUUUUAAAUGGAAAGGGAAAAAGGGUGCAGACUAGCUGACCUCAAGAGGUCCCUUCCAUUGAAAUUCUUCUAUGAUUCUAUUCAUUAACUACAACCUGCCUAAUACCCUAAACUGUAUCUCUAAUCAUGAAUUUGUGAUUAAAGCCAUAGCACGAUCUCAUUUAUUUAGUGAAGUCAGGUAAGAAGAGCCUGACAUAAGCACAGACGCAUGAGCCAAAACACUUAUUACUGAGGUUAAAUGAAAAGUCAACCAUUACCCUGCAGAGCUUCUCAGGAAAGGGAGAAGAGGAUAAAGUGAUCAUACUACUGGUGCUUUUCUAUGUACAAUUUUUUGACAUGGAAGCCUUUCUAGAAAAGUGACAGUAGGGAACGUAGGAGAAGAGCUGUUCAUUCACUACCGAGAAUUACAGAGACUGUGAAUGGAUAGUACCAACUGCUUUACAUACUAAUAAAUGCCAGUGCAGUAGACAAAUCUUCCAUCACAUUACCUGAGGCUCAAUGUUUUUAAGUCCCCAUUUGACUUACUAGUCUUAUCUUUAUGAAAUAAACAUAUGCACCAAUGUUAUAACAUUGUAUAUACCACCCAUGUCUGCACACACAUUUAUCAUCUGAAUUCUUCUAGGUUUACUCUUGUCAUUUAAAGAAAUGGUCUCUCUCAAUAAACUGUCUUGGCCUGCAUUACUGAAGGGCUGCUGCUAUUGCUAUGCUGCACAGGAAUCUGUUACCGCACAUUUUGUAUAUGUUGCGCCUUCAGCCUCUCCAGGAAAAGAUCAUGGAGGGAUGGUAUAAAUCGAAAUGCAUUUGAUUGAUAAAUGAUGUAUCAUCAUACAGAAAAUGUCCUUGCAUCAAAAAUGGAAGUCUAGCUGUCCAUCCAGUAUUGCAGCAACUGGCAAAAAACCUGUGCCUAGAAAGGUAAAUUUUAGGAUAUGGUAGUGCAUCUCUGCCAAGUAUCUAAGUAGCAUAGGCAAAGGAUAGUAAAGGCGGUGACAGACUCCAGCAUAUGCUAACAUGUCCUUAAGACUUUGCACUGCAGUUGCCAGCACAAGCUAAACCUCACAUUGCAUGCAAGUGCAAAACAUGGUAGAAACCUUAAAAACAUUCCUGUUCAGUAAGAUCAUGUGUGAACCUUCCCUGCAGUGUUCUUCAUUCCAUGACUACUUGAAAACAUUUGUAACAUUUUAUGUAAUAGUUUCUUUUAUUGUAAAAGUUUUUGUUCCAACCAGAAGUAGAAAUCCUUUAUGAUCACCA